rnacentral:rRNA from 1 species
AUUGAACGCUGGCGGCAGGCCUAACACAUGCAAGUCGAACGAGUGGCGGACGGGUGAGUAAUGUAUGGGAAACUGCCUGAUCGAGGGGGCUAACUGCUGGAAACGGUAGCUAAUAGCGCAUACCAUCCGUUCGGCCCACAUGGGACUAGCUUGUUGGUGGGGUAACGGCUCACCAAGGCGACGAUCCCUAGCUGGUCUGAGAGGAUGACCAGCCACACUGGAACUGAGACACGGUCCAGACUCCUACGGGAGGCGGCAGUGGGGAAGAUUGCACAAUGGGCGCAAGCCUUAUGCAGCCAUGCCGCGUGUAUGAAGAAGGCCUUCGGGUUGUAAAGUACUUUCAGCGGGGAGGCGUUACCCGCAGAAGAAGCACCGGCUAACUCCGUGCCAGCAGCCGCGGUAAUAC